CCCUCUUGGGUCUUUUACAAGUGAACUUUCUUUCCUGUUUUAAAGCCUUUUAAAUAAACUUCCACUCCUGUGCUGAAACUUGCCUUAGUCUUUUUUUCUGCUUUAUGCCCCUCAGUCGAAUUCUUUCAUCUGAGGAGGCAAGAAUUGAAGUUGCUGCAGACGCCUGUGGAUUCACCACAAGUACAUUGGAGUAACCACUGGGAACAACAGGUUGCCUUAGAAGCUUUGCAGCAAGCUUACAAAGCCAUCUUUGAUUGACUGAUUCUUUGACAAUGACUAUCUGGAUGACACAGGAAGGAUGCAAUUCUGGCCUUGGAGAGAAAACUUGCAAGGAAAGGAACAUGUUUGAAUUUCAGAUGUGUUCCUCAAUGAAUCACUUGAAGAUGAAAAUUCUAAGUAAUCUCACCAGGUUGGACAACUGGCUAUGAAAUGGCAUGAAAUAUGAUCUUCAGGGAAUGUUUCAGGUGGAGGAAGGGGCUCUUGGUCAAUGAGCCUGAAGACUGCAUGGCAACCUUUGCCAGCUUUUGGCCUGAAAACUCAACUUCUUCAUUUGAGAUAAUUCCUGUUUUAUAUACUUUCAUUUGAGAUAUUCCUGGUGUAUCAACUGAAACAAAAUCUAUGAAAUAUCAGAUUCACAAAAAUACAUUUUGAAUAUUGAACGUGG
rnacentral:lncRNA from 1 species